ACACACACACACACACACACACACACACACACACACACACCUGCCGUCAGACAGGCAGCCCAGUUUAAACUGGUUUCCAGCUGCUGUGUUUCGUCCCUCCAUCGUUUCCACAGCUGAAUAAAAAUCUGAUUUCAUUUCCGGUGUAAAACAAACAAACAAACCCAGAGAUUUUACCCACAAUUCCACGCUGCUGUCGUUCCUAAUCCCUAAUUUUCUGAUUCUCACUUUAAACAAACACAUUCAGUUCAACAAAAACACCUCAAACCUCCGACAUCUGGUGGCUUCGCGACCAAAUAAAACACAUCUUCACUUUUAAACCCGGCAAAACCCAAAAGAACCUCAACACAGACGGUUCGUCCUGCCCGACAGCCAAUCAAAUCGCCCGUCACAUGGCGCUCGGCCAAUCAGGCGCCAGCUCUGUCGGGGCCCGGGAGCAGCAGCGGGUUGAACCUCCUCCUCUAAGAUGGCCGCCGGAGAUUCAGCUCAGAAAGUUUGGGAGCGCUACAACCGUGCGCGUGUCGCCGCCGGGACUCCGUUGCCAAGGCAACGCACCAGCUGGCACCAAAACGAACCCCGUGCCAAAAAAAAAAAGCUAAGAUGGCCGCCGCUGCAUGUUGAUUAUUGAAGCUCGGAGCAGAGCCAGGAGGCGCCGAACAUCGAUCCCAAUGCUAAGAUGGCCGACGGAGGGCGACCUGUGACCUUCUGCGUCAGGUCAGAGGUCAACCCGAACCCCGGAAAACCAGAAAAUGGAGUAAAUUAGACCCACUAGUUCAUCAGCACCCGGAGCCAGCGCUGGUUUUGAGCGACUAGAAAAUGACGUUUUAGUCUUAAUAAAACGGAUCAAACUCCA